rnacentral:misc_RNA from 1 species
CCAGAAGCGGUUGAUCCCAAUAGAACACGACUUUACGUACAUUGUCAUUAUCACAAACACUGUGCACACAUUAGUACAUAGAACUACUGUAACAUUGCAUUGAUCGUUUAUUUUUAUGCUAUCGCCUGUUGUUUCAUCUCGAGGCGCGAAAAAUCGGGAUGUUGCCUCAGCGAAGAGGUCACAAAAGACAUGAUAAUGAGGACCAAGUCAGUUACGAUGAUAAUCAAACAGCAGGAAUCGUUCCUUAGAUCAUCCUCCAGAAAUUGGUUAUCCAAGUGAACAUGUGAAAUAUUAUACAUUAUUUCAUACUUACUGAGAUUUUCGGAUAGAAUCGACCGCAUGAAAAACUCAGUCAUACGAAAAAUUUUUUCCGAUCCAAUCACAAUCGCGAAACGUCUUUCUCACACGGGGGAAAAGCGUUUCAUCCAAUCAGAAAUCAGCUGUCAAAAUGAAUCAGUCAGUUCACAACGCGUUCACGUUGCUGUUGGCUCCUCUUCAAUCUUCAUUCACAGAAGCUUGUAGAGUUUCCACAAGUUUACACUAGUUUUCUCGCAAAUUAGCUAUAAACCACAGAUACUGGCGGAAAGCUCGAACAGGUUUAUCGCUUUAGAUAAAACCAUUUAAAAUUGCAUCCAGGAACACCAGCACAAAAACACUCGGGCAAAAACCCGACGAGACGUUAAGGUUAGCUUGUUUAGCGAGUUCCUCGAACAGAAGGAAGAGGCCAGAAAAGUUUUAAAGAAGGCAAAUAUCCCCUAAGCAUUAUCGACGACAAAGAGCAAGAAAAAUUCUGAACGCUCGAAGCAAACGACUGAAAAAAAGGCAAGGCAAACGAAGCAAAUCAAACGCAGCUAAAGCGUUGACCGAUGACGGAGUAAACACUCUGUACGAAAAAUAUUUACACUAUAGGCUUUUGAAGAAGCGACCAAGCCGGAAUAAAACAUUACUUGACAUUUGUUCUGCCAAAUGAAAAAGCAAUUAAAUUUUAUUAGAAUGCUGAGCGUGAAAAUCUCAGUAAGUAUAAAAUAAACAAAUUAAAGCUUGGAAACUGCUUUAAUGCACGGUAUUUCCGAACUCGUUGGUUUUGCAUUAGAAAACUCGCUCGUUCGUUUUCUGAUACGUCAACAACUCGUGCGUAAAUGCCGUACGCGCGCACUUUCCAUGAAGUAAUCUAUACUUUCCAAUAUAUGAUAUUGCCUAACCUUACGGGUACCUGUAUAUAACGAACUCUCAAAGUGAUUACCUCCCAGUUGGAUUGGUAGCCCAGUUGAAAGAGAAGUGCACCGGUAUCGCAGAUUUCUUUCUAUUUUUUUUUCCAAUUUUCAAUUAGUCAAUUCUGGAUCGGAAACGUCUUUUAGUUGAAUUCCUUUACUACAUUGAAGCCUCUCUUUUAAAUGUUAAUGUGUUUCAAAAAGAAAAUGCAUUGAAUAUAUGUAUCAAAACAUUUUGUCCUAAUUAGAAGCUUUUUUUACAGUUCCGCCUCCUUUGAUGCAGGGCUUGCAGACCUACCUUUCACGAUAUCGCCGGCUCUGCUUAGCUCGGUUCUUGUGUCAGCUGACCCUGUGGAAACCCCGCUGAAAAAUGCUGAACAGUUCAUGUUGAUCAAGGACUAUCGUACAUCUGCCAUGCUAUAUACUGUGGCACUACGGUACCUCGAAGCUGAUUCUUCCCCUGGAUUGGUCGCCGCUAUUCUAUGCAAGCGAGCUGAAUGUUUACUUCGCUUGAGUUACGUACAGCACGUUUUACGAGAUUGCAGAGAUGCUAAGAGCAAACUGGGGAGUGACAACGAACACAUAGCAUUUCUAUCUUCACAAGCUCUAGAGCUACAGGGAGAAGUACAGAAGGCUUUUAUGCACGCCGUCAUAUACAAGUCUCUUGAUCCUCGGAUAUCAAGAGACAAGGAUAUUAUGAGAAGGUUAAGAAUGAAAGUGAAGUGGUUGUGUGGCCAGGGAUAUCAUCAAGUUCACAGCACUCUUGACGUCCUGAUGACACAAGGCGAGCUGUCGCUCUCAGACUCUAAGACAAAGGUGGCCUUAGCCUUUUUCACAGAAGUUGUGAAUCUUUUUCCAGAAUUUCCGGAUGCUCACGAAUAUCGAGCGAAAUGCUUCUCCAUUUUGGGUGAGUUUCUUCAAGCUGAGCAGGACUGCAAUAGAGCUCUCAAUUUGACGCAACGCACAAGUGCGGCAGCAUUUGAUACAAAAAUAAAAAUCAAGAUCCGGCAGGGAGAGUUUGCGGAGGCUCUGGAAUUAGUGAAUGAAUGGCAAUUUAUUGAUCCCGAAAAUGCAGAACUCGACAUGGUUAAAAUGCAAAUGACUCAAAAAUUGGUGGCGGCGCAACCUAGGAGUGGAACAGCGGAGAUGAGCCGAUGUCAGUCGCUUUCCGAUUUGUCAUGUGGCCACGAGUCAGGUCAUGAAAUGACAACGAAAAAAAGAACCAACCAAGCCUGGAGUCAAAGCGGCAAUGCGAAGCCAAAGAAUAAAAAAGAACUACAACGAGAAGAGCGGCAGAGGGAAAAGGAACGCCAAGAGAUAGCUCGUGAAUUGGGAGAAAGGCGAAAGCAGGAAGAAAGUAAAAGUUAAAGCUCAAGCCCCGACGAGAGAAGAGCAACAUGGAGCAUGUGAAAAGACCAAGGGAGCAGUUGCAACAGAAGAC